AGCGAACGCUGGCGGCAGGCUUAACACAUGCCAGUCGAGCGGACCUUUCGGGGUCAGCGGCGUACGGGGGUGUAACGCGUGGGAACGUUCCUUCCGGUUCGGACUAACUCUGGGAAACUGGGGCUAAUACCGGAUACGCCCUAAUGGGGGAAGGUUUACUGCCGGAGGAUCGUCGCGCGUCUGAUUCGCUAGUUGUUGGGGUAACGGCCUACCAAGGCGACGAUCAGUAGCUGGUCUGAGAGAAUGAUCAGCCACACUGGGACUGAGACACGGCCCAGACUCUUACGGGAGGCAGCAGUGCGGAAUAUUGGACAAUGGGGGCAGGGCUGAUCCAGCCAUGACGGGUGAGUGAUGAAGGCAUUAGGGUUGUAAAGCUCUUUUAUCCGGGACGGUAAUGACGGUACCGGAGGAAUAAGCCCCGGCUAACUUCGUG
rnacentral:rRNA from 1 species